AUUGAACGCUGGCGGCAGGCUUAACACAUGCAAGUCGAGCGAGCGGCGGACGGGUGAGUAAUGUCUGGUAAACUGCCUGAUGGAGGGGGAUCACUACUGGAAACGGUAGCUAAUACCGCAUACCCUCAGAUGUGCCCCGAUGGGAUUAGCUAGUAGGUGGGGUAAUGGCUAACCUAGGCGACGAUCCCUAGCUGGUCUGAGAGGAUGACCAGCCAAACGGGAACUGAGACACGGUCCAGACUCCUACGGGAGGAAGCAGGGGGGAAUAGUGCAGAAUGGGAGCAAGCCUGAUGAAGCCAGGCAGCGUGUGUGAAGAAGGCCUUCGGGUUGUAAAGCAUUUUAAGCGAGGAGGCGUUACUCGCAGAAGAAGCACCGGCUAACUCCGUGCCAGCAGCCGCGGUAAUAC
rnacentral:rRNA from 1 species